GGAGGGGCGGGGGGAGGGGGGCUGGGAAAGUUGAGGCCGUGCUGCCGCCGGGUCUCCGGCCUCGAGGGCUCGGGCUCGCAGCGGCGGCGGUGGCCGCAAGGAGACGCGGCGGGGGCGGGGGGAGAGGAGGGCCCGGGCCCGCGCUCCCCCAGCCCCGCAGAAGCAGGCGGCGGCUGCCGACCCAGAGGCUCGCCUGGACGGCCAGGCACCGCUGCCUUCCGCUCCUGGGAUCAUGACCCAGGCGGGGGUCGCCGCCACUGCGGCCGGGAGCGCGUCGCCGGCGGUAAGAAGAGAACAUAACCUAUAGAGGCCGUCUUUUGGCAGAAGAUGGUAGAUUUGAACCAGAAAGAGGAGGAGUUGGAAGCUAGGAAUCCAAAGUGAAGAAACUCUGCGAGCCCUUGGGUUCCUAUUACUGCCACCAUGCCAGAAAUGACAGAGCAUGAGACGCCAAUGAAAAAACAGCACAGAAAGAAGAACCGGGAGACACACAAUGCAGGUGUGUACUGCAACCGGAAUUC